rnacentral:rRNA from 1 species
UACGUAGGCAGCGAGCGUUGUUCGGAGUUACUGGGCGUAAAGAGUGCGUAGGCGGUUUUCUAAGUUUGGUGUGAAAUCUCCCGGCUUAACUGGGAGGGUGCGCCGAAGACUGGAAGGCUUGAGUAUGGGAGAGGUAAGCGGAAUUCCUGGUGUAGCGGUGAAAUGCGUAGAUAUCAGGAGGAACACCUGCGGUGUAGACGGCUUACUGGACCAUUACUGACGCUGAGGCACGAAAGCGUGGGUAGCAAACAGG